GAGCGGAGGAGUAUGGACUUAUUGGUUCUAGUGAAUGGGCGGAGCAAUAUGUCAAGUCGCUGGGGGCGAGAGCUGUUGCUUACCUCAAUAUUGAUGUCGCUGUGGGAGGUAACUUUUCCCUUUAUGCUUUGGGGACACCCCUGAUGUACAGAGCUGUUUAUGAGGCUACCAAAAAGGUGCCUAAUCCUAGCGAAGAAGAAGUCAGUCAGAACAGACCUUCUGUGUACGACACGUGGGUUCACUCAUUCCCAUGGACCUCCGCUGGCCUUGACCUGCCUUUGUAAGUCAACCGUAGUCUCGUAGCUUUUAGGCACAAUUGUAUAUUUGUUUAUUAUAACACAUUGGUUUAGAAAUACUGUUCUUUACUGCU